AAGAACUUAGGUUACACCUAAACCAGAGGCCUUCAAAGCCUAAAACAGGGAAAAAAGCCCUAGCUCUUG
rnacentral:tRNA from 1 species